rnacentral:lncRNA from 1 species
CUUGAGGAAUUUAACCACUUUGUAUCUUUAUGAAAACAAGCUUUCUGGUUCCAUCCCUCAUGAAAUUGGAUUGUUGAGAUCUCUUAAUGAUCUUGACUUGUCAAAUAACAAUCUCAGUGGUCUCAUCCCACCUUCCAUAGGAAACUUGAGGAAUUUAACCACUUUAUAUCUUCAAAAAAACAAGCUUUCUGGUUCUAUCCCUCAAGAAAUUGGAUUGUUGAGAUCUCUUAAUGAUCUUGCGUUCUAUACUAACAAUCUUAGUGGUCCCAUCCCAUCUUCCAUAGGAAACUUAAGGAAUUUAACCACUUUGCAUCUUUAUGAAAACAAGCUUUCUGGUUCCAUCCCUCAUGAAAUUGGAUUGUUCAGAUCUCUUAAUGAUCUUGCGUUGUCUACUAACAAUCUUAGUGGUCCCAUCCCACCUUCCAUAGGAAACUUGAGGAAUUUAACCACUUUGCAUCUUUAUGAAAACAAGCUUUCUAGUCCCAUCCCUCAUGAAAUUGGAUUGUUCAGAUCUCUUAAUGAUCUUGAGUUGUCAACUAACAAUCUCAGUGGUCCUAUCCCACCUUCCAUAGGAAACUUGAGGAAUUUAACCACUUUGUAUCUUGAUGAAAACGAGCUUUCUAGUUACAUCCCUCAUGAAAUUGGAUUGUUGAGAUGUCUUAAUGAUCUUGUGUUGCAUAUUAACAAUCUCAAUGGUCCCAUCCCGCUUUCCAUAGGAAACUUGAGGAAUUUAACCACUUUGUAUCUUUAUGAAAAAAAGCUUUCUGGUUCCAUCCCUCAUGAAAUUGGAUUUUUGAGAUCUCUUAAUGAUCUUGACUUGUCAAAUAACAAUCUCAGUGGUCCUAUCCCACCUUCCAUAGGAAACUUGAGGAAUUUAACCACUUUGUAUCUUUAUGAAAACAAGCUUUCUGGUUCCAUCCCUCAUGAAAUUGGAUUGUUGAGAUCUCUUAAUGAUCUUGAGUUUUCAAAUAACAAUCCCAGUGGCCUCAUCCCACCUUCCAUAGGAAACUUGAGGAAUCUAACCACUUUGUAUCUUCAUAAAAACAAGCUUUCUGGUUCUAUCCCUCAAGAAAUUGGAUUGUUGAGAUCUCUUAAUGAUCUUGAGUUGUCAACUAAUAGUCUCAGUGGUCCUAUAUCGCCUUCCAUAGGAAACUUGAGGAAUUUAACCACUUUGUAUCUUUAUGAAAACAAGCUUUUUGGUUCCAUCCCUCAUGAAAUUGGAUUGUUGAGAUCUCUUAAUGAUCUUGACUUGUCAAAUAACAAUCUCAGUGGUCUCAUCCCACCUUCCAUAGGAAACUUGAGGAAUUUAACCAUUUUGUAUCUUCAGAAAAACAAGAUUUCUGGUCCCAUCCCUCAAGAAAUUGGAUUGUUGAGAUCUCUUAAUGAUCUUGCGUUCUAUACUAACAAUCUCAGUGGUCCCAUCCCACAUUCCAUAGGAAACUUAAGGAAUUUAACCACUUUGCAUCUUUAUGAAAACAAGCUUUCUGGUCCCAUCUCUCAUGAAAUUGGAUUGUUCAGAUCUCUUAAUGAUCUUGAGUUGUCAAUUAACAAUCUCAGUGGUCCUAUCCCACCUUCCAUAGGAAACUUGAGGAAUUUAACCACUUUGUAUCUUGAUGAAAAAAAGCUUUCUGGUUCCAUCCCUCAUGAAAUUGGAUUGUUGAGAUCUCUUAAUGAUCUUGCGUUCCAUACUAACAAUCUCAAUGGUCCCAUCCCGCCUUCCAUAGGAAACUUGAGGAAUUUAACCACUUUGCAUCUUUAUGAAAACAAGCUUUCUGGUCCCAUCCCUCAUGAAAUUGGAUUGUUCAGAUCUCUUAAUGAUCUUGAGUUGUCAACUAACAAUCUCAGUGGUCCUAUCCCACCUUCCAUAGGAAACUUGAGGAAUUUAACCACUUUGUAUCUUGAUGAAAACGAGCUUUCUAGUUACAUCCCUCAUGAAAUUGGAUUGUUGAGAUGUCUUAAUGAUCUUGCGUUGCAUACUAACAAUCUCAAUGGUCCCAUCCCGCCUUCCAUAGGAAACUUGAGGAAUUUAACCACUUUGUAUCUUUUUGAAAA